rnacentral:rRNA from 1 species
UCUAAGGGCGUUGAAGCAUGAUCGUAAGGACAUGUGGAGCGCUUAGAAGUGAGAAUGCCGGUGUGAGUAGCGAAAGACGGGUGAGAAUCCCGUCCACCGCUUGACUAAGGUUUCCAGAGGAAGGCUCGUCCGCUCUGGGUUAGUCGGGUCCUAAGCUGCGGCCGACAGGCGUAGGCGAUGGAUAACAGGUUGAUAUUCCUGUACCACCUAUAAUCGUUUUAAUCGAUGGGGGGACGCAGUAGGAUAGGCGAAGCGUGCGAUUGGAUUGCACGUCUAAGCAGUAAGGCUGAGUAUUAGGCAAAUCCGGUACUCGUUAAGGCUGAGCUGUGAUGGGGAGAAGACAUUG